UAGGUGAACCUGCGGAGGGAUCAUU
rnacentral:ncRNA from 11 species